UCAGGAGGCUGAGGCAGGAGAAUCUCUUGAACCCGUGAAGUGAAGGUUGCAGUCAGCCAAGAUCGUGCCACUGCACUCCAGUCUGGGUGACAAGAGCAAAACUCCAUCUCAGGAAAAAAACGAAAACAAAAACAAAAAACCAUAUACAAAAUGUUUAGAAAUGAGAAAGACAAUAUAUAAGAAUUGUCUAAGGUGUACUUAUGAGGUAAGAGAUUUUGGAGUGAAAGCAGGUAGAGGAUAAUUUAUUUGUGAAGAUUAGAUUUAAGUAGAGAUUACAGAAGACAAAUGAAACUCAAUCAUGUGUGAGUAGAUUACCUCUAUUAUAAUUUAUAGGUAAUAAAUAUGUAUGCUCCUACCGUAAGUGUUGUGGUGGGUACUACUUCAUUUUGUUGAUGUGAUAAUACUUACAUAUUAAAGCAAUAUGUUGAUGAAAUAAAGAAUUUAAUAUAACAACCACAGAGGAAUUUUAAAUUUGUGUAAGAAUAGUUAACUUUUUGCUGAAUAUAUCAGUUACUAUCUUAUCUAUGUAUUAUCAUCCAAAUGAACUCUAGAUAUUUUAGAGCAAUAAAAUGAAAAGCAUUUUGAAGGUUCUUUUCCAUGUUAAUUUAAAUUACUAUUUUGAUGAUUACUAUUUAGGAUUCUUCUAUUUGCAGGGUUUUGUUUGAAAUAAAUCUUCUCAAAAUCAGGAACUAUAAAGAAUUCAUUUUUUUACUCAGGAGCUUUGUGCCAAGUCCAGUGCUUAGUAUGGUUUAAAUAAAUAUAAAUUGAAAGGAUUUGUGAAUAAAGC
rnacentral:lncRNA from 10 species